GCCACCCUAGCUCAGUUGGUAGAGCAACUGAUUCGUAAUCAGUAGGUCGCGCGUUCGAUUCGCGCGGGUGGCUCCA
rnacentral:tRNA from 1 species